rnacentral:misc_RNA from 1 species
UUUGCUUGCGCAACAACUUCCAUCCUUCAUUCCUCUUCAGUUAUCUGUCAAGGCUUGUAUGUCUUUUCAGAUUGUGGGGUUUCCUGUAUUGUCUACCUACAUCAUGGUAUUCUCCUGAUUGAUCCUAGACCCUUUUCGUUUUGUAUCAUUCUCAUGAUAUAGGAUGAACCUUGAAGCAAUGUCUUUGUUCCACAUUGUUAACGCAUGCGUUGAUGUUGUGGCCCAUUGAUCAUUGCUUGGUUUCAUGGACGCAGAACAUGAUAUGGGCAUGGGGUCUCUUUUGAUCCCUAUUUUGUCCUCCAUUAGCGUUGCACUACUCCUUUAAUGACUUUCCCUCUUCCGCCACGGCAUGUUCCAGCGGGUUUGGGUUCGUUAUUUUACGAGGAAAUGCAACGUGCAUUCCUCUAAGCGACAGCCUUCGCUCGUAUGGCAUCGUCCCAGCGGGGUAGGUUUUGUCAAUUAUGAAUGCUACCUGGUUGAUCCU